rnacentral:lncRNA from 1 species
CAGAAUUCAAAAUGUUUUUUUAAGGAAAGAAAUCUACAUAUAGAAGUUAAGAAAUUGUGUUUGUCCAACAUCUGGGACAGAAUUGAAAUGGUUUGCUAUUAGCACCCUGAAAUGUACAUCUUGUGACUAAAAUAGACUUCUUGAUGAACAUAAAAAAGUGUGCAAAGCAUGCAUGCUGAUGACAUUGGAAAUGAAAAGUCAUGUGAUCUUGAAAUGGACAAGCCAACCAAUAGUAUUUCUUUUUUGAAGAAUCAGGUGAUCAUGAAAUGAAC